CGGAUAAGACCAUGUUUUACCUGA
rnacentral:siRNA from 1 species